UACGUAGGGGGCAAGCGUUGUCCGGAAUCAUUGGGCGUAAAGCGCGUGUAGGCGGUCCGGUAAGUCGGUUGUGAAAGUCCAGGGCUCAACCCUGGGAUGCCGACCGAUACUGUCGGACUAGAGUUCGGAAGAGGCGAGUGGAAUUCCCGGUGUAGCGGUGAAAUGCGCAGAUAUCGGGAGGAACACCUAUGGCGAAGGCAGCUCGCUGGGACGUUACUGACGCUGAGACGCGAAAGCGUGGGGGAGCAAACAGG
rnacentral:rRNA from 1 species